rnacentral:rRNA from 1 species
AGCGAACGCUGGCGGCAGGCCUAACACAUGCAAGUCGAGCGCCCCGCAAGGGGAGCGGCAGACGGGAGAGUAACACGUGGGAACGUACCCUUCAGUUCGGAACAACCCAGGGAAACUUGGGCUAAUACCGAAUACGUCCGUAAGGAGAAAGAUUUAUCGCUGAAGGAUCGGCCCGCGUCUGAUUAGCUAGUUGGUGAGGUAACGGCUCACCAAGGCGACGAUCAGUAGCUGGUCNGAGAGGAUGAUCAGCCUCAUUGGGACUGAGACACGGCCCAAACUCCUACGGGAGGCAGCAGUGGGGAAUAUUGGACAAUGGGCGCAAGCCUGAUCCAGCCAUGCCGCGUGGGUGAUGAAGGCCCUAGGGUUGUAAAGCCCUUUCGGCGGGAAGAUAAUGACGGUACCCGCAGAAGAAGCCCCGGCUAACUUCGUGCCAGCAGCCGCGGU